UACGUAGGGUGCGAGCGUUGUCCGGAAUUAUUGGGCGUAAAGGGCUCGUAGGCGGUUUGUCGCGUCGGGAGUGAAAACCUCGGGCUUAACUCGGGGCUUGCUUUCGAUACUGGCAGACUGGAGGUAUGCAGGGGAGAACGGAAUUCCUGGUGUAGCGGUGAAAUGCGCAGAUAUCAGGAGGAACACCGGUGGCGAAGGCGGGUCUCUGGGCAGUAACUGACGCUGAGGCACGAAAGUGUGGGGAUCAAACAGG
rnacentral:rRNA from 1 species